rnacentral:rRNA from 1 species
UACGUAGGGGGCUAGCGUUGUCCGGAAUUAUUGGGCGUAAAGAGCGUGCAGGCGGCCCGGUAAGUCCGCUGUAAAAGUCAAAGGCUCAACCUUUGAAUGUCAGUGGAUACUGCCGGGCUAGAGUCCGGAAGAGGCGAGUGGAACUCCUGGUGUAGCGGUGGAAUGCGCAGAUAUCAGGAGGAACACCAAUAGCGAAGGCAGCUCGCUGGGACGGUACUGACGCUAAGGCGCGAAAGCGUGGGGAGCGAACAGG